rnacentral:rRNA from 1 species
GAGUUUGAUCCUGGCUCAGGAUGAACGCUAGCGGCAGGCCUAAUACAUGCAAGCUGAACGGUAAAUAUUGUAGCAAUACGAUAUGAGAGUAGCGUAAGGGUGCGUAACACGUAUGCAAUCUGCCCUGUACAGGAGGAUAGCUCGGCGAAAGCCGGAUUAAUACUCCGUAAUAUUAUGGUGUGGCAUCACAUGAUAAUUAAAGUCGCAAGAUGGUACAGGAUGAGCAUGCGUCUGAUUAGCUAGUUGGUAGUGUAAUGGACUACCAAGGCGAUGAUCAGUAGGGGAACUGAGAGGUUGAUCCCCCACACUGGCACUGAGAUACGGGCCAGACUCCUACGGGAGGCAGCAGUAGGGAAUAUUGGUCAAUGGAUGCAAGUCUGAACCAGCCAUGCCGCGUGCAGGAAGAAGGCCUUCUGGGUUGUAAACUGCUUUUGCCGGGGGAUAAAAUUCUCAUGCGUGGGAAAUUGAAGGUACCCGGUGAAUAAGCCACGGCCCACUACAUGCCACCAGCCGCGGUAAUACGUA